GACGAACGCUGGCGGCGUGCCUAAUACAUGCCAGUAGAACGCUGAAGAGAGGAGCUUGCUCUUCUUGGAUGAGUUGCGAACGGGUGAGUAACGCGUAGGUAACCUGCCUUGUAGCGGGGGAUAACUAUUGGAAACGAUAGCUAAUACCGCAUAACAAUGGAUGACACAUGUCAUUUAUUUGAAAGGGGCAAUUGCUCCACUACAAGAUGGACCUGCGUUGUAUUAGCUAGUAGGUGAGGUAAUGGCUCACCUAGGCGACGAUACAUAGCCGACCUGAGAGGGUGAUCGGCCACACUGGGACCGAGACACGGCCCAGACUCCUACGGGAGGCAGCAGUAGGGAAUCUUCGGCAAUGGGGGCAACCCUGACCGAGCAACGCCGCGUGAGUGAAGAAGGUUUUCGGAUCGUAAAGCUCUGUUGUAAGUCAAGAACGGGUGUGAGAGUGGAAAGUUCACACUGUGACGGUAGCUUACCAGAAAGGGACGGCUAACUACGUG
rnacentral:rRNA from 1 species